UGCUCAAAUGUGACCCGUUAUAGCCAACAGAAAAAAAGCGGAGGCCCGAAAAACAGGUGGGGGUCCUCCACCACCACCACUCACAGAGGCUGAGCAGUUGGCCCUCAGCCAAAACAGUGGGCGCCCUGUGGCUGAAGGCAUCUCUGCGGGGACAUCCUCUGAGUCAAUAACCCCGCAAGACACAAGUGCCUACAUAAGAGUUGAUGGUGAUGGUGUACUGCAUCUGGUGCAGCCUCCUGUUGAGCCAGACCAACAUGCAGUUGUGAGUACUCUUAAUACUCCACAGAUUAUAUGAGUUUACAGUAGAACAGCAAUGUUGUUAAUGUCUUUACUACAGGAAAAUUAUGAAGAAACAUUGACAGCUGUUACAGAGGAGGAAGCAACAGAGACACUUUAUGAGAGUGAUGAUGGAAAUGCAGAGGAAGAGGGUCCAGCCACUUCUCCAACAAACCUUUCCUCACUCCCUGUAAAGCAGCUGUACAAGACCUAUUUGAUCAAGAAAAUAAAAAAAUGCGACUUGGAAAUGGAACACUUCAAGCAGCAGAUCCAAAAGACCAAGAUUGAGAUUUUACUGCUGGAACAUCAGUUAAGGGUGGGUGAAGUGGUCAGAGAUGGACGAAUUAUUUCAGUGUUUGAACAACAUAAUAAUAUACUUAUUAAUACUUUGUGUACAGGAAAUACAGGCGACCAAUAA